UAGUCAGGUGGGAUAAUCCUUACCUAUUUCUCCUUUGGAGGACAGAUAAAACAUGAUGAUUGAAGAUGCAUGAAAUGUUUAAAAUUUAAUUAUUAAAAAAAGAGAGAGAGAGAAGACACAGUUCCACCCAUAGCUGAA